CACAUCUAUUCUCUAAGCACUCCUGUCUUUGGAUUCCACACAUUGACAGAGGAGCUGAGGGGGAGUCUGGACUGGAGGGGAAACUAGAUCACAUGGGAGUUUACAGAUCAAAAAGACUCGUUUCUUCGGGGGCCGUGUGUACAGGAGACAGUUCCCCUGCUAUGCGUACUUGGGAGUGUGCUGCUCCUCAACAGUGUGUACCUAGGUUUAUACUAGUUUUGUCCAUCUCCCUGCUCCUCAACAGUGUGUGUCUAGGUUUAUACUAGUUUUGUCCAUCUCCCUGCUCCUCAACAGUGUGUGUCUAGGUUUAUACUAGUUUUGUCCAUCUCCCUGCUCCUCAGCAGUGUGUGUCUAGGUUUAUACUAGUUUUGUCCAUCUCCCUGCUCCUCAACAGUGUGUGCCUAGGUUUAUACUAGUUUUGUCCAUCUCCCUGCUCCUCAACAGUGUGUGUCUAGGUUUAUACUAGUUUUGUCCAUCUCCCUGCUCCUCAGCAGUGUGUGUCUAGGUUUAUACUAGUUUUGUCCAUCUCCCUGCUCCUCAACAGUGUGUGCCUAGGUUUAUACUAGUUUUGUCCAUCUCCCUGCUCCUCAACAGUGUGUCUAGGUUUAUACUAGUUUUGUCCAUCUCCCUGCUCCUCAACAGUGUGUGUCUAGGUUUAUACUAGUUUUGUCCAUCUCCCUGCUCCUCAGCAGUGUGUGUCUAGGUUUAUACUAGUUUUGUCCAUCUCCCUGCUCCUCAGCAGUGUGUGUCUAGGUUUAUACUAGUUUUGUCCAUCUCCCUGCUCCUCAACAGUGUGUGCCUAGGUUUAUACUAGUUUUGUCCAUCUCCCUGCUCAUCAGCAGUGUGUGUCUAGGUUUAUACUAGUUUUGUCCAUCUCCCUGCUCCUCAACAGUGUGUGUCUAGGUUUAUACUAGUUUUGUCCAUCUCCCUGCUCCUCAGCAGUGUGUGUCUAGGUUUAUACUAGUUUUGUCCAUCUCCCUGCUCCUCAACAGUGUGUGUCUAGGUUUAUACUAGUUUUGUCCAUCUCCCUGCUCCUCAACAGUGUGUGCCUAGGUUUAUACUAGUUUUGUCCAUCUCCCUGCUCCUCAACAGUGUGUGUCUAGGUUUAUACUAGUUUUGUCCAUCUCCCUGCUCCUCAGCAGUGUGUGUCUAGGUUUAUACUAGUUUUGUCCAUCUCCCUGCUCCUCAACAGUGUGUGUCUAGGUUUAUACUAGUUUUGUCCAUCUCCCUGCUCCUCAACAGUGUGUGUCUAGGUUUAUACUAGUUUUGUCCAUCUCCCUGCUCCUCAACAGUGUGUGUCUAGGUUUAUACUAGUUUUGUCCAUCUCCCUGCUCCUCAACAGUGUGUGUCUAGGUUUAUACUAGUUUUGUCCAUCUCCCUGCUCCUCAACAGUGUGUGUCUAGGUUUAUACUAGUUUUGUCCAUCUCCCUGCUCCUCAACAGUGUGUGUCUAGGUUUAUACUAGUUUUGUCCAUCUCCCUGCUCCUCAACAGUGUGUGUCUAGGUUUAUACUAGUUUUGUCCAUCUCCCUGCUCCUCAACAGUGUGUGUCUAGGUUUAUACUAGUUUUGUCCAUCUCCCUGCUCCUCAGCAGUGUGUGUCUAGGUUUAUACUAGUUUUGUCCAUCUCCCUGCUCCUCAACAGUGUGUGUCUAGGUUUAUACUAGUUUUGUCCAUCUCCCUGCUCCUCAGCAGUGUGUGUCUAGGUUUAUACUAGUUUUGUCCAUCUCCCUGCUCCUCAACAGUGUGUGUCUAGGUUUAUACUAGUUUUGUCCAUCUCCCUGCUCCUCAACAGUGUGUGUCUAGGUUUAUACUAGUUUUGUCCAUCUCCCUGCUCCUCAGCAGUGUGUGUCUAGGUUUAUACUAGUUUUGUCCAUCUCCCUGCUCCUCAACAGUGUGUGUCUAGGUUUAUACUAGUUUUGUCCAUCUCCCUGCUCCUCAGCAGUGUGUGUCUAGGUUUAUACUAGUUUUGUCCAUCUCCCUGCUCCUCAACAGUGUGUGUCUAGGUUUAUACUAGUUUUGUCCAUCUCCCUGCUCCUCAACAGUGUGUGUCUAGGUUUAUACUAGUUUUGUCCAUCUCCCUGCUCCUCAGCAGUGUGUGUCUAGGUUUAUACUAGUUUUGUCCAUCUCCCUGCUCCUCAGCAGUGUGUGUCUAGGUUUAUACUAGUUUUGUCCAUCUCCCUGCUCCUCAACAGUGUGUGUCUAGGUUUAUACUAGUUUUGUCCAUCUCCCUGCUCCUCAACAGUGUGUGUCUAGGUUUAUACUAGUUUUGUCCAUCUCCCUGCUCCUCAACAGUGUGUGUCCAGGUCUAUUCUACUGGAAUAUAUUAUGGGGUGCUACUGUGGAGAAGGAAACCAAGGCUGGGGCUGUCUGGUGCAGGUCUAUUCUACUGGAAUAUAUUAUGGGGUGCUACUGUGGAGAAGGAAACCAAGGCUGGGGCUGUCUGGUGCAGGUCUAUUCUACUGGAAUAUAUUAUGGGGUGCUACUGUGGAGAAGGAAACCAAGGCUGGGGCUGUC